rnacentral:rRNA from 1 species
CCCUACGGGGUGCAGCAGGAAUCCUCAUUGGUGGCGGUGUACACUUCAUACCAGUGGGUGGUGCUCCAGCAGCUAUAGCAACAGCAACAGGUGUGGGAACAGGUACUGCUAUGUUAGCAGCAGGUUCAGGUAUGACUGGACUAAUUACCGCCGCAGCCAUGACCGGACAGCCAUUAUGGCUUAUUCUGGCAUCAGGGGCUGUUGGUUCCAUGCUCAUGAUAGGUGUCACCAUGCUGGUAGGUAACUGGGUAUAUGUAUGGGGUGUAGGAACCGUACCCGUAUCUGCCAAAGUAGACACUGACCCAAUUACAAAAUAUCCCCAAGAAAAAUAUGUAACCCCAGGUACUGAAGGACACGGAAUACCAACCGUAUGUUUUGUUAGUGGAAUAAUAGGAGGACUCUUAGGAGGAAUUGGCGGGGGAGC